AGCCCGGUGGUGUAGAGGCCAAUCAUACGAGGUUCUGGUCCUCGUUACCCAGGUUCGAAUCCUGGCCGGGCUA
rnacentral:tRNA from 1 species